AAAAAUCCUAGCCUGCUCUCUGCCUCUCUCUCUCUCUCUCUCCGUCCGUCUCUCUCGUUGUCAUGUAAUUUUGUGAGUGUUACUCCAGAAUCCCUCGAUUUCCUAGAUAAGAGUUUCAAAAGCCAUGUUAUUUUUGGGCCUAAACCAACCUCGAGGCUUUGGUGAUUCGAGGUUGGCUUGGGGAGUGGGAGAUCUGUUGUAGAGUUUUCCGACGACGACGUAGAUUUGGAUCUACGAGGCAUCAAAGGCGUUCAAUGGAGCAGGGGAGUUGGCCUGAGCCUAGAGCUUGGGGUGCUCGCGGGAUUUGUCUUACAACUAUUUAUCAACAAGUCUUCCCCCAUGGUUACCACUCGAUCAGUGUUGUAUUCUCUAACCUCUAAAGCGAAGGGAUCAUGCAUAUGGGAUCCUGAGGAAAACAGAUAUCUUGACUUUUUUGUAGCUUACUCUGCUGUUAACCUGGAUGUUGCUGUUAAGGUAUUCUUCAAGCAAGAAUAUCCAGAUGAUGUGCUUCUUUCUUUUAGACAACAAGUGCCUCUCAUCUCAAUUUUUCUUACUGGAGACGACGUGUUCAAAUGGCUUUGGAUAUAGCUCAGUUUAUAUCAGUCUAGAUUCUUGGAUGCAUCAAUUUGUGUUCAUCUUGUCUUGAAUAGUCUCAGCACGAGGCAUGAAUUAUCUUCAUCAUUUCAACCCCCUUAAUUAUUCAUCGAGAUCUGAAGUCUUCAAAUCCCCUAGUUGAUAAGAACUGGACUGUCAAGGGUUGAAGGUUCCUCUUUCUACUCGAUCUCAUUAUACACCCCCUCUCUUUAUAUUUCAGUAAGGGGAUGUUUACUUUGGAGACAAAGGUGGGCUGAUCUUUGUGCGUUUGCCAAAUCUGGUAGAGAUCCAUGUUGGUCAGAUUUCCAACGGAACCUACUUUUAAAUUGUUCCAUGGAAAUAAAGGGAGUUGGAAUCAGAUCGCAUAUAAAAGUUGCCGGAGGUAGCAGAUGCAGCGUGGAGAGGAACAUGAAGAGAUUCAAGUUUUUUUUAUGUUGUAUUUUAUUUGAAAUUGUAUACGAAUUGUACAAUACAUUUUAGAAAUAUGUGGUUGUAGCUAGACCAAAUUGUUAUUUUUUUUAUAUUUACUCCCAAUCUUGCCACUGAUGUUGGUGGCAUUGAGAAUACACACUGAUUCAGUAACAGUGGGAAAGAAAAAGGUAUCUUGCAGCA